CCGAGUUCUCGGGCUUCGGCUCGAAUCUCCCACCCUUUGUGAACAUACCUCUGUUGCUUUGGCGGCUCUUUGCCGCGAGGAGAGGCCCCUCAAAAGGCCGCCCCCCCGCGCGCUUUCCGCCAGAGGACCUUCAAACUCCAGUCAGUAAACGUCGACGUCUGAUAAACAAGUUAAUAAACUA
rnacentral:misc_RNA from 1 species